AUGUUUUCAGAGUUUGUUUACAUCUCUGUGAACACGUGUGAAAGAGACGUGACGUGUCAGCACAGAGAAACAUUGACUCGAACCCCAAACAGGUUUGAGCUUUCCAUGUGUGCGGCAGCCAUCCCCAGCACUAUCUUGUCCAGCAUACUCCUGUGGCCCUUGGCAGGAACGUCCUGGCUGAAUCGAAGUUUCCAUGGUGUUUUAGGAACCAGUGACCUUCAAGGACAUAGCCAUAGACUUCACCCAGGAAGAGUGGGCGCUGCUGGACCCAUCCCAGCGAAAGCUGUACAGAGAUGUGAUGCUGGAGAACAUCAGUCAUCUGGUCUCUGUGGGGUAUGAACUCCGCAAAUCAGAUGUGAUUUCUGAGCUGGAGCAAGGGAAGGAGCUGUGGAGGGAAGAAAAAGGAUUUCCUCAAGGCCUGAGUCCAGGUGAGCUCCAGGCUCCUGUGUUCAUUACCAGGAAGAUCUGACACUGAGAGAGCAGGACCUGGGAAAUGUCAGCCACACAUUUCCUGGAGUGACUUAUAUUUUCAGAAAAGUGGUCGAGGCCACUGGGGCCAUUGCUCUCUUCCUGGGCCUGUUCUUCCUCUUGCCCUCAGAAAAGGAACAGUCCCAUCCCCUUGGAGAUAAAGCUUCACCUGUGUGCUUUGUCCUGUUCACUUCUCUUUGACACUGUUUCUAUUUACCUUACUGAUGACCAAUCUUGAUUGUAUUUUUUAUCUUAUUUCAAUCCUGAAAAUACAUUCUCAUGUUCAUUUUCCUGGCAUGUGUUCUAUUCAGUGAUGUCUUCCUCCUCUUCCCGUCCUUUUCCUGUGUAAGGGGCAGGGUUGGAAACGUAUCCACACAGGCCUGGCACGUGUUCAACAGUUUUCUCCCUCUUAUGCCACACUAGCAAUUUAUAUGUUUUACAUUAUUUUAGACAGGAAAAAUGGCCUUAUAAAAGAAGAAACGACAUCUGUACAAGAUACCUGCAAGAAGGACCCAUCUAAUGCACGUCAGUGGUAAGUUUCAGGGGAAGAAACCCUCCUUCUCCACAUUAAAGACAUGGGACCUGAAAGAUCGUAGAAUGCAGCACAAUCACAUGACCGUAAUUUCACUUGGGAGUAAAUGCUGUCCAGCAGAAGGUUUGGGGCCUUUUAAAUUUAGGGAAAAUAUUAACGUGUGCUCAAACCAAAACCUCAGUUCUUACAAAAGGACAAUUACAUAAACAUGGUGCUUACAUCUAAUGUUUGAAACUAAUGAAAUCUUUAAAAUAAAUCUGAUAGCUCUGCAGUUGAGAUGUUAUGA
rnacentral:lncRNA from 1 species